GGAGUAUGGGCCGUGUCUCAGUCCCAUUGUGGCUGAUCAUCCUCUCAAACCAGCUACUGAUCAUCGCCUUGGUGGUCCAUUACACCGCCAACUAGCUAAUCAGAUGCAGACUCAUCCCAGAGCACCGGAGUUUUCAAGAAUAGCAUUUCAGCUACGCUCAUAUGCGGUAUUAGCAGAAGUUUCCCUCUGUUGUCCCACUCUCUAGGGCAGAUUCUCUACAUAUUACUCACCCGUCCGCCACUUUCCACUCACCGAAGUGAGCUUCUCGUUCGACUUGCAUGUAUGAAGCACGCCGCCAGCGUC
rnacentral:rRNA from 1 species